ACGAAGGGUGCAAGCGUUAAUCGGAAUUACUGGGCGUAAAGCGUGCGUAGGUGGUUUGUUAAGUCUGCUGUGAAAGCCCUGGGCUCAACCUGGGAAUGGCGGUGGAUACUGACAAGCUAGAGUGCGGUAGAGGAGGGUGGAAUUCCCGGUGUAGCGGUGAAAUGCGUAGAUAUCAGGAGGAACACCGGUGGCGAAGGCGGCCCUCUGGACGGUGACUGACGCUGAGACGCGAAAGCGUGGGGAGCAAACAGG
rnacentral:rRNA from 1 species